rnacentral:rRNA from 1 species
CCUACGGGUGGCAGCAGUGAGGAAUAUUGGUCAAUGGGCGGAAGCCUGAACCAGCCAAGUCGCGUGAGGGACUAAGGCCCUACGCGUCGUAAACCUCUUUUGCCGGGGAUCAGUGCCCAGCUCGCGAGCUGGGAGGGAGCGUACCCGGAGAAAACGCAUCGGUUAACUCCGUGCCAGCAGCCGCGUGAAUACGAAGGAUGCGAGCUUUACCCGGAUUUAUUGGGUUUAAAGGGUGCUAAGGCGGCCCUUCAGGCCGGCGGUAAAAUUGCGGGGAUCACCCCCGCCGAGCCGUCGGAACCGGGGGCCUUGAGUACCGGAGAAGUACGCGGAAUGCGUGGUGUAGCGGUGAAAUGCAUAGAUAUCACGCAGAACCCCGAUUGCGAAGGCAGCGUACCGGCCGGUCACUGACGCUGAGGCACGAAAGCGCGGGUAUCGAACAGGAUUAGAUACCCUUGUAGUC